GUGCUCACUUCAGCAGCACACAUACUAAAAUUGUAACAACACAGAGAAGAUUAGCAUGGCUCCUGAGCAAGGAUGACACGUGAAUUUGUAAAGUGUUCCGUAUUUUU